CGAAUCGCCCCGUGCAUCAGCCGCGUAUACGUAGGGUGCGAGCGUUGUCGGAAUUACUGGGCGUAAAGAGCUCGUAGGUGGUUUGUCGCGUUGUUCGUGAAAACUCACAGCUUAACUGUGGGCGUGCGGGCGAUACGGGCAGACUAGAGUACUGCAGGGGAGACUGGAAUUCCUGGUGUAGCGGUGGAAUGCGCAGAUAUCAGGAGGAACACCGGUGGCGAAGGCGGGUCUCUGGGCAGUAACUGACGCUGAGGAGCGAAAGCGUGGGGAGCGAACAGGAUUAGAUACCCUGGUAGUCCACGCCGUAAACGGUGGGUACUAGGUGUGGGUUCCUUCCUUGGGAUCCGUGCCGUAGCUAACGCAUUAAGUACCCCGCCUGGGGAGUACGGCCGCAAGGCUAAAACUCAAAGGAAUUGACGGGGGCCCGCACAAGCGGCGUAGCAUGUGGAUUAAUUCGAUGCAACGCGAAGAACCUUACCUGGGUUUGACAUGCACAGGACGCCGGCAGAGAUGUCGGUUCCCUUGUGGCCUGUGUGC
rnacentral:rRNA from 1 species